GCCAAUUCUCACUCAGAUGAGAAAGAGGAUAAUAAUAAUAAUGAUAAUGAUAAUAACCUAGUUUCUAUUCCCAUCCAAUACAACCAAUUCCUAGGUUUUCCUUCCACUGUGAAUGAGGCAUUGCAAAAUGUUCCAAUUGGCAUUGCUAAUUAUGACAGCGAAGAGGUGAUGAAGCAGGCAAUUCCGACUUCAAUUGUUGAUUAUACUACGAAAAAGAGGAAGCGAGGCAGGCCACGAAAAAAUGAGAGUAAUUUUUAUAGUGACAGUAGUAAUCCCAACCAGGUGAGUGAGACUGAGAAUAAGCAAAGAGAGAGAGAGACGAUUGGUGUGGAUGCAAGCGUGGAUAAGGAGAAGAAGAAGGGGGAGAUGUUGACGAUGAAUAAGAAUGGAAUGAAGAUGGACUUGGUGGCACUGGGGAGUAUGGAAGAUCCAUAUGGAGUAUGGAGGGGAACUGAUGAUUCGAACAGCGGGAAUGCAUACAGAGGCAGAGUUAUUAGGGUUUUUGCAGGGGCUAGAGGGAGAAUGGGUGACUAGCAGAAAGAAGAAGAUGAUAGUGGAC
rnacentral:misc_RNA from 1 species